UGCAGUGAUGAUUCAAUAGACUAGAGUCGCUGAUGACGUCAUGAUGCACUUUACAUUUUUCUGAGCA